AUCAGGGUGCUGUGGGAGGAUGGGAGGAGAAACCAUGCCUCUGACUCUGUUGCCUGUCCCCAGUGCCAUCUCUUCCAUCCUGGGCACCUGGCUGGACCAAUACUCCGAGGACUUCUGUCAACCCCCGGACUUUCCCUGCCUCAAGCAGCUGGUGGCUUAUGUGCAGCUCAACAUGCCUGGCUCAGACCUGGAGCGCCGUGCUCACCUUCUCCUGGCCCAGCUGGAGGACCUGGAGCCCAGUGAGGUUGAGCCUGAGGCCCUGUCCCCAGCUCCAGUGCUGUCUCUGAAACCAGCUUCACAGCUAGAACCAGCUCCCGCCCUGCUUCUGACGCCCAGCCGAGCUGUGGCAUCCACUCCAGUCCGAGAGCCAGCCCCGGUGCCAGUACUGGCAUCCAGCCCGGUGGUGGCGCCAGCCUCUGAGCUAGAACCAGCUCUGGAGCCGCCCCUAGACCCUGAGCCAACCCUCGCACCUGCUCCAGAGCUGGACCCCACUGUCUCACAGAGCCUCCACCUCGAGCCCGCUCCCGUGCCCGCUCCUGCAUUAGAGCCUUCCUGGCCUCUGCCUGAAACCACGGAGAACGGACUGUGUGCAAAGCCUCACCUACUGCUGUUCCCUCCAGACUUGGUGGCUGAACAGUUUACGCUGAUGGACGCAGUGAGUGGCUCACGGGGGCGGGGCGGGGCAGGCCUCCUUUUGUCCUCUGCUGUCUAGACCUGUUUUCUGGUUCAGAGCCUCUGUCCCAGGGCAAGUCCUAGCUCCACUCUUAACAAACAUGUGAUUAGGGCAUUCUACUUAACCCAAAGCAUUGAUUUCCCACCCCCAUGGUGGUCAUGAAGAGUGUGUGUGUGUGUGUGUGUGUGU
rnacentral:lncRNA from 14 species